rnacentral:rRNA from 1 species
AUGAACGCUGGCGGCGUGCCUAAUACAUGCAAGUCGAGCGAACGGACGAGAAGCUUGCUUCUCUGAUGUUAGCGGCGGACGGGUGAGUAACACGUGGAUAACCUACCUAUAAGACUGGGAUAACUUCGGGAAACCGGAGCUAAUACCGGAAAAUAUUUUGAACCGCAUGGUUCAAAAGUGAAAGACGGUCUUGCUGUCACUUAUAGAUGGAUCCGCGCUGCAUUAGCUAGUUGGUAAGGUAACGGCUUACCAAGGCAACGAUGCAUAGCCGACCUGAGAGGGUGAUCGGCCACACUGGAACUGAGACACGGUCCAGACUCCUACGGGAGGCAGCAGUAGGGAAUCUUCCGCAAUGGGCGAAAGCCUGACGGAGCAACGCCGCGUGAGUGAUGAAGGUCUUCGGAUCGUAAAACUCUGUUAUUAGGGAAGAACAUAUGUGUAAGUAACUGUGCACAUCUUGACGGUACCUAAUCAGAAAGCCACGGCUAACUACGUG